AAGCUCAUGCUCCAAAACGUCUGUUAGUUCGAUAAGGUGCCACAGGAUUCUUUGCUGCUUUUACAGAUCACACUAACACCGGCUACCCUCUGAUAAUUAUUAGACUCCAAGGAUCAUCACUGCUUUAA